AAUACAUACGUCAAUCACCAAGUACAAAUACUCAAAAUUUCAAACUUUGUAUUAAAAUAUGUUAGGUGUUCUUUUAAAAGAGGGACGAAAGAUACCAAAAGGACAGUCAAACUCAUAAAUCUAAAACAAACUGACAACGCCAUGGCUAAAAAUGAAAAAGACAAACAAACAACAGCACACACGACACAACAUAGAAAACUAAAGAAUAAACAACACGAAC
rnacentral:lncRNA from 1 species